GAUGAACGCUAGCUACAGGCUUAACACAUGCAAGUCGAGGGGCAGCGCAGUGUAGCAAUACAUGGGCGGCGACCGGCGCACGGGUGCGUAACGCGUAUCCAACCUUCCCGUUACUCAGGGAUAGCCUUCCGAAAGGGAGAUUAAUACCUGAUGGUGUUCAAAUUCCGCAUGUUAUUUGAACUAAAGAUUUAUCGGUAACGGAUGGGGAUGCGUGACAUUAGGUAGAUGGCGGGGUAACGGCCCACCUAGUCUACGAUGUCUAGGGGUUCUGAGAGGAAGGUCCCCCACACUGGAACUGAGACACGGACCAGACUCCUACGGGAGGCAGCAGUGAGGAAUAUUGGUCAAAUGGACGAGAGUCUGAACCAGCCAAGUCGCGUGAAGGAAGACUGCCCUAAGGGUUGUAAACUUCUUUGUAUGGGAAUAAAAAGUGGCACGUGUGCUAUAUUGUAUGUACCAUACGAAUAAGGAUCGGCUAACUCCGUGCCAGCAGCCGCGGU
rnacentral:rRNA from 1 species